CACACACACACACAAAAACAAACAACUGCAAUCUCUGGCAACUGAAGCCACACUGCGAGCAGCAGCAUGGUCUUGUAGCCAUAUGUUGUGCACGGCUGAGAUGGUUGAUACAGUGUGGCUCGUAAGUAGAGCAUGCAAUGCAGUUUGUAAGGCAACAACAGAAACACAGGAAAGAAGAGAAAGAAAUAUGGCCAUUGAAUUUAGUGAUGCAUUAGAAAAUAGUAAGAUUGUGACAGUCUUUUUGUUGCACCUGUGUGUGGCUCAGCAUUUCCACUGUACUAUACUCUUUCUCUUCUUUCCUGUGCUUCCCCUGUUGCCUUACAAACCGCAGUUCAUGCUCUACUUACGAGCAACAGUGUAUCAACCAUCUCGGCUGCACACAGUAGACAGCUACAAGACCACACCGCUGCUCACAUUUAGUUGCCUAAGACUGCAGUCAUGUGUGCCAGUUGCAUUUGCAUGAGUGUGUAUGUAUCUAUCAUCUAUUUUUGAUGAAGGCUUUACUGGCCGAAAGCUUAUUUGUGAUAGUCUUUUUGUUGUGCCUAUCUACGACUCAGCAUCUCCACUAUAUUAUGAGUCCUAAUUCAGUCUGGAAUUCAGAGACAGCAAUUCACCACCUUGUGUCACAGUGGGACAAGUGUCUCAACAGCCAGGGUGAAUACUUCUAACAUACAGUGCCAACAGGCUACUGUCUUGAAGUAUGGAAGUCGCUCUUGUCACUUUCCUGAAGUGUGUGAUGUGUAUGACCCUUCCUACCACACAGUCACCAUCCUGGAAGACAUCUGCAAAUGAUACCUGCACAAACAUGAAAAAGGAAAAUGGCGGACUGAGUGAGUGAUACAGAGGUAAUGGCAUUGGACUUGCAUUCGAGAGGAUUCAAACACCUACCCAGAGACAUAUCUGCAGUGCUGGUACACACUGAAAAGCCCUGCAGCACAAUACUGUAGCACACUGAUAAAGGAGCCAAAACAAAAUGGCGAUGUUCACUGAAGAUGUGGAGUACUGUGUGGCAAUUUUCGGGAGCAGCAGAAAUGUUAAAGCUGUGUCAGGCCAAUCCAGCUCAGUAUAGCACUGCAUCUUCUUUUGUACCUAACACUUACUGCUGGUUGUGUUUAUACAAAACACAGUCAAUAACGUGAAACACUGUAGCUGUCUUAUACCAACAUGUACCUUUCAGUGUUUUACUGAGGGAGUCAGCAUUAUAAAUCAAGACACUGCAUAUUUCUGCGACAUUGACACCUAAAAAUGUUUAUAUAGAAUGAAACCAGCCAUGGUUUAACAAAUGAAUGAAAAAAUGACAGCUGUUAUAACUUCCAGUUGAAGAAAUAUAUUUCAAGGAAGAUGCAAUACAUGAAAGUCACAGACCAAGUAAACAGAGUAAGACGUGUGUGCACUUUAACAGUCAAAUCAUAACUGAGUCCGAGUCUAGCGGCCACUGGCUGGCUGGCUGACUGGCCGCUUAGGUGGUGGUGCUGCUGCUGCAUGCCUGGCAGACAGCGCCACAUGUAGAGGACUUGCAUAAUUGCGCGGCAGCACUUUGAAAGAUCGGUGAGUCACAACAACAGCCUUGGUGAAUUUGUCAACAUUCUCAUUAAUCAGCUGAAGAAGCAAAACAUGAUCAAGAUUAAAACUAUUAUGUAUUGCUGAGAUCUUAUUCUGAACCAUCUCCUUCAACAGUCACCUCCUGUUAGUUUUGAAAUGCAAUCUGAAAGUCUAUCUUUGUUAGGCUGUUUAAUACUCUCUGUGAUUCUGCUUGAAUCUCCUCCACUAUAUCGAAUUUUCAUCUUGGGGAAGAUAAAGAAGUCGCACAGAGCUAAGUCUGCUCAGUGCAACAGGUCGAGGACAACUGUCAUCUUGAUUUUCAUGAAAAAAUUCCUGAUAAUGCACCCCAUAUGGAGACAUGCAAGUACCCAGUCAUCCUCUGUGUAUGUUUUCUCCUCUAUAUAGGCAUGCUGCUCUUUCAGGUCAGCCAUUGCAGAAUCACAAAUUCAUGGACACACAACAACAGAAAAUGCUCACCAACAACAAACCAACCCACUCAGAUCGCAUCCACAUACCGCACUGACUCAAGAAGAAUGUAUGGGGAGACACCAAGUGACAUUUCUGUGUACUCAUAACCAUUUGUACAAAAACAUAUUUUGUUGAUUGUGUUCUACAGCUUUGAUAAACUUAAGGAAAGAUAUGAAAUAAUGGAAAGUCAAGGUUGGAAUAUCAACAAUGCUAUGAAAAGGAUAAAUCGCUAAGCACCCUAAAGAUGACACACACUGAGAUACAAGCAGGCACGAUGAUGAAAAGAUUGUUACUUAUAAGCUUUUGGUCAAAGCCUUCUUCAGAAAAGAAAAGAAGAGAAAAAUACACAAACUUUCACACAAGCAAGC